CCAUUAUCAGAAAGACACAACUAAAAUAACAUAUUAUGAAUGAUAAUUUCGAUAGCCAGAUGAGCACCAGGCAUGUGGCACCUUCAAUGAUCAUCUAAACAGUUGGACUCAUUAUCAUCUAACUUAAUGGGAGGCUAUGAUCUAGUUAUCACCAUAACUAUUUCAUUUUUAGGGACCUAACAAUUUUAGAGGAUUUAAUUA
rnacentral:lncRNA from 1 species